rnacentral:lncRNA from 1 species
GAGACAGGCAGGGGCUCAGAGGGCUCAGCACCUGGGGUGGGGCCUGGUGUGGGGCAGGCUGGGUGACCAAGACCACUUUCGUUUUUUUCUCUUUGGGAUCCUCUUGGGACAGCCAAGCAGAAAAGGCCAAGGCCUUAUUUGGUCAACCAGGCUCUGGCCCUGUGAGAUCAGCCCCCAUCCCUCCAGCCUCCUCCCUACCACUCACCUCCCCCAACAGCUGCAUUAAGCCACCUGCCUGGGGCCUUCGCACUGGCUGUUCCCUCUGCCCGGAAAGCUCCACCUCCUCCCAUCCUCCCCUCCCCCGGGCUGCAUGGCCUGCUCACCGUGCUCAAACUUCACCCCAGUGAGGCUGAACCUGACCUUAACCUCUACCCUGAUGUCUAUCACUGCAGCCCACCCCAGCACCCCCCAGCACUCAGUGCCUUUUUCCUUCCAUGUCACCUAACGCAGGAGAUAACUGUACUCAUUUUUUAUGUCUAUUGUCUUAUCUACCCCCCACAAUAAGCUGCUAGGAAACGGGGGCUUUUUGGGUCAAGCAUGUUAGUAGGUGCUCAAUAAGUAUGGAUUAAAUGUGUCUAGGCUGCCUGGGUGGGUGGGAGAGGAGAUGGGAGGGAGGGAAGGAGGUUGCUAGCUGGUGUCAGGGCUGGCUCUCCCUGAGGCCUGGGAUGGGGGAUGGAGGGGCCUGGAUGCACCCAGAGGCAACUGCUCAUCUUCUGCUUGGCCAGGUCCCCAAACGGGGGUCCGUGAGGCCCCUCUUCCUCCCUCCCCACCACGGGGCUGCCCCAGCGGCAGGGUUUCCGUUCCACUCCCAGUCCCUGAGGGCCACAGGCGUGCAGGGCCGGGGGCUGGGGGGGGCUGGGGGAGGCGGGCGCAGCUGCCAGAGGAAGUCUGCGGUCGGAACAGGCUAGGUGGGGGGUGUCGGGGGAGGGGUGCUGAGGUGCAGCCAGCCUCCCCCACCACCCCAGGCUGUCCGCCCAGGCUCCAGGAAUGCAAGUUCCCGCUCACAGGAAGACCAGGUCUUCUGCCUCAGUUUCCCUGCCUGACAAUCCAGGGGAGCAAUGCCUGUGGGGCUGCUCACUGCCCCCAGACCUUCUGCACAUGUGUGACUCCUGUGACAUCCUCUGUCUCCAGGUUUCCAGACUUCUCAGCCCCACCCUUGCAGCAGCAGGUCAGCCUGGCUUUUAGAAAGAGAAUUUUAUUUGGAAUGAAAAUAUAGAGCCCACCCUCCCGCCUCCUCUGGGGAGGGAGCAGAGGGCUGGGCAGUGGUCGG